rnacentral:misc_RNA from 1 species
GAUGAAGAACGUAGCGAAAUGCGAUAAGUAAUGUGAAUUGCAGAAUUCAGUGAAUCAUCGAAUCUUUGAACGCACAUUGCGCCCGCCAGUAUUCUGGCGGGCAUGCCUGUCUGAGCGUCAUUUCAACCCUCAUGCCCCUAGGGCGUGGUGUUGGGGAUCGGCCAAAGCCCGCGAGGGACGGCCGGCCCCUAAAUCUAGUGGCGGACCCGUCGUGGCCUCCUCUGCGAAGUAGUGAUAUUCCGCAUCGGAGAGCGAUGAGCCCCUGCCGUUAAACCCCCAGCUUUCCAAGGUUGACCUCAGAUCAGGUAGGAAUACCCGCUGAACUUAAGCAUAUCAAUCAGCGGAGGA